AAUUCUGACUUUGAAUCUAAAAUCUUGUUUUUUUUUUUUGAGAGAUAGAUAGCACGCUAUCCGCUUCGUUUAUUUCAUUUAGAAAUAAACUUAGCUAGAAAUGUGAAUCAACUAGGAUUCGAACUUGGGUCUCGGAUACCAAUCACCAAGCCUUUUGCCACUUACUUUAGGGACGGUCGGUGAAUCUAAAAUCUUGUUAUUCC
rnacentral:lncRNA from 1 species